rnacentral:rRNA from 1 species
AUUGAACGCUGGCGGCAGGCCUAACACAUGCAAGUCGAGCGAGCGGCGGACGGGUGCGUACUGUCUGGGAAACUGCCUGAUGGAGGGGGCUAACUACUGGAAACGGUAUCUAAUACCGCAUACCAUCAGAUGUUCCCAGAUGGGAUUAGCUAGUAGGUGGGGUCACGGCUCACCUAGGCGACGCUCCCUAGCUGGUCUGAGAGGAUGACCAGCCACACUGGAACUGAGACACGGCCCAGACUCCGACGGGAGGCAGCAGUGGGGAAUAUUGCACAAUGGGCGCAAGCCUGAUGCAGCCAUGCCGCGUGUAUGAAGAAGGCCUUCGGGUUGUAAAGUACUUUCAGCGGGGAGGCGUUACCCGCAGAAGAAGCACCGGCUAACUCCGUGCCAGCAGCCGCGGUAAUUC